rnacentral:rRNA from 1 species
UACGGAGGAUGCAAGCGUUAUCCGGAAUGAUUAGGCGUAAAGCGUCCGCAGGUGGCUAUGUAAGUCUGCUGUUAAAGAGUGAGGCUCAACCUCAUAAGAGCAGUGGAAACUACAUGGCUAGAGUGCGUUCGGGGCAGAGGGAAUUCCUGGUGUAGCGGUGAAAUGCGUAGAGAUCAGGAAGAACACCGGUGGCGAAAGCGCUCUGCUAGGCCGCAACUGACACUGAGGGACGAAAGCUAGGGGAGCGAAUGGG